AUUGCUGGAAGACUGCAGGAACUGAACCCCCUGGAAAGAUGAGUUCCUUAUUAAAGAAAGGCUUGAUGCUGUUUACUCCACACUCUUAGGCUGACUUUGUAUUAUUUGUCUGUGAAGACAGUUCACAGUUUCUGAAUCCCAUCAAGAAUGAAGACCUGGAGGCCACCAUAUUGAGAUGCGAGUCAAAAUAUAUACUUUUAUAACCAUAUAUGACAUUUCAAUGUAGUGACAUUUAAGUUUUCCUGGCUAAAAUAAUUGAAUUUGGUAAUAUUUGUUAAUAAGAUUAUUAAUGAGUUAUAUUUGUAUAAUUAACUUGUAUAGCAAGUUAUAUAGUUAUAUUUGUUGGAACAAAUAAGGAUAUUGUUAAUAACAAGCUAAGAUCUUGAGUUUUUUGGCUAUGGUUUUAAAGGAUGUUUAAGAAGGGGAAAGAAAGAAUAGGUAGUUUAAUUUCAUUUACAUGCAUAGUUCAGGGGGAAAUUGUUCAUAGGAAGCAUUCAAACACAACCUAACAUCUGAUGCUUUUUACUGUCUCAUGCUUUUCUGUGUUCCAGGGUCCGAUGUCAUGAUAUGGCGCUUUUCCAAUGUAGGGUACAACUUGGCUCGGCACGAUGCAGCUCAGCUCGCUUUCGUUGCUUUUCCAGUACAGUUUAGUGUCGCUUCAGAGUGGGUGAGAUUAUAGGCAGGGGUGCACAUAACUGGUGCGUAUGCUCAAAUAGAAACAAUUCUAGUGUACCAACGUUGCUGGAAUUUUGUUACAUAGUUAGCUAAUUUACUUUGACAUAAGAGAUUUCUUCGUGCAUCAGUGGUAAGAUAAUUAAUGUGUGUUGUUAGCAGUGAUCCGCAUCUCAAUGCUUCAGACAGCUUGCUAGUACAAGUAUACAUUUAUAUGAGUUAGGCUAGUAGUUAUUUAUAAAGAUUAGAUAAGUAAAAAACAAUAACCAGGGUUAUUUUAUGUACAUCAUUGUCUACCAUGUUUAAACAAAAGCGAUAUGGCGAAGAGAGUAGUCAGGAGAAAAGUGAUGAUGUCAGCAUGUAGGAUGUCUGUGCUAUGAAUAGUGUGAGUACCAAGUAACAUCUCCAGGUACUUCUUUGAGAACCAGGACAAAAAAAGUUAUGUGCACCCCUGAUUAUAGCCUUAUUGUUAAAGUUGCGUCCUCUCUACUGCCGUAACAUCAUCGUAAAUGUGAUACAAACACACACACACACAACAUGGAGCAACAGAGCAUAUUAAUGGAAUGCAGCCACAAAAUCAAAAUUGACAGCCACAAGUAGAUUUUCCACUACCUCUCUCACAUGACAGGUUCUAUACAAACACCCGUGUCAUCAGUACCUGUACUCCGCUGACAGAACAUUUACGCCUAUACUUUUGGUGCGUUUUGAAUGCGGAGCCAUGCGCAAAGUUACAAAACUGCCAUCCAGACAUGGGCGCGGUGGUGUGCUCUGCAUUUUUGUAACUUUGCACAUGGCUUCGCAUCCGAAACCCAUUACCCCUUCCCCAAAAGUGAGCUGUGCUGAACUGGGUCAUACUAUGCAAUGGAAAAGCGCCAAAAGUGUCCUACUUCCUGGCUUGAAUGAUUUAGAAUUUUCAGCGUUGGACUUGUGUUCCGCGUGUUUGGCCUCUUUAACACUUGCUGUUUGAAAGUCAUUGCUUGCAACAGAUUGAGUGAAUGUCAUUCUGCAUUUCUGUUUGCAUUGCUUUGCUUGCAUUUGAAUCCUUUGCAAUAAUAAAAGUUUUACAUUUGAGCUGUAGUUGUAGAUUCAAGUUUGUUUUUCCUUGAUAUAAUGUAUUUGUAUAGAUUUUUGCUGUGUGACAAUUAUAUAUCAUGCAGUGCUUCAUAUAUGAGAAAGACAACGCUUGAACCACACAACACCGUAUCAUAUUAAUCAGAAUAAA